rnacentral:rRNA from 1 species
UACGUAGGGGGCAAGCGUUGUCCGGAAUUACUGGGCGUAAAGAGUUCGUAGGCGGUUUGUCGCGUCGGAUGUGAAAACCCAGGGCUCAACCUUGGGCCUGCAUUCGAUACGGGCAGACUAGAGUUCAGUAGGGGAGACUGGAAUUCCUGGUGUAGCGGUGAAAUGCGCAGAUAUCAGGAGGAACACCGAUGGCGAAGGCAGGUCUCUGGGCCAAAACUGACGCUGAGGAGCGAAAGCGUGGGGAGCAAACAGG